AAGUCUUACAGCUAAAAAAAUGCAUCGAUACAUUAUACUCGUAUAAUAUGUUGUCUCAUACCUAAAGGGGAAACGUAUCAAUAGCAAAUAUUUCAGUUCAGCAGUUCCAAUUUUGUGUUGUUAGGUUGAACAAAAUCAUUAAUUUAAAAGUAUGUUAUAUGCGUCUGUAAAGACAGAAACAACACAUGAAGUGAUAAAAACGUGAUUACUAAUACCAAAGCUAAUACUCAAUGAGCUCUAUCGAGUACCGAUUAGUGAUUACAGAAUAAUAAAUAUUAAAUUUAUAGUUAUUGUAUAUUAUCAAAUAUCGAUUAUUGAAUAAUAUCAUUCGAUACUUCAAACUCUCAAAUCAUUUGAAUGGUAAAUUCAUGGACUAAAUAAUAAAAACUAUUAAAUA